UUGCUUGUUUGUUUUGUUUUGUUUUUGCUUUUUAUUAUAAUUUAUGAGACGGAGUCUCACUCUGUCACCGAGCCUGGAAUACAGUGAUGAAAUCUCAGCUCUCUGCACCCUCCACCUUCCAGGUUGAAGAGAUUCUCCUGCCCCAGCCUCCCGAGUAACUAAGAUUACAGGAGCCCACCACCACACCUGGCUAAUUUUUGUAUUUUUAAUAAAGACGGGGCUUCACCAUGUUGGCCAGGCUGGUCUCGAACUCCUGACCUCAGGUGAUCUGCCUGCUUCGGCCUCCCAAAGUGCUAGAAUUACAGGCAUGAGCCACUGCACGCACCAUACCUAAUUUAUAUUACUCAGCUCUCAAUUUAAAAGUUCAGUGUGUCUGUUAGGAGUUUUCAGAUUUGUUUAGCCAUUACAUACUUUAAAAUUAAAACCUGUUGCGAACACACCAACAGGUGCCCAUGGAUAGCACAGGCAGAUAGCAGAAAGCAAAACACAGUUUUCACAAUUAGCUGUUGCUUACAAACAUGUGAUUCAUAUGCUGAUUUUACAAGAUGCGAUUCAUAUGCUGAUUUAGUCUUUAUUACAGAAUUUUGUUGGGGGCGGGGGCAGGGUCUCACUCUGUUGCCCAGGAGUUCGAAAGCAGCCUGGUCAACAUGGUGAAACCCUAUCUCUACUAAAACUACAAAAAUUAGCCAGCUGUGGUGGUGCACGCCUGUAAUUCCAGCUACUCGGGGGCUGAGGCAAGAGAAUUGUUUGAACCCAGGAGGUGGAGGUUGCAGUGAGCCAAGAUCAUGCCACUACACUCCAGCGUGGGUGACAGAGUGAGACUCCGUCUCAAAAAAAACAAAAAAAAAAAAAAAAAACCCCACAAUUUUCUCUGAACAUUAAAAAUACUCCUAGUUUAUUCCAUAGGGACUUAAUCCAGCCCCAACAAAGCAGUGAGAGGCAAAGAUAUUUGUUUUACUCCAUUAGGCUGUUUCUUUCCUCUUCUCAUUCAGUUUUAUUAAUAGUGAUAA
rnacentral:lncRNA from 1 species